CUACGGGUUGCUCCAGUGGGGAAUAUUGGACAAUGGGGGAAACCCUGAUCCAGCAAUGCCGCGUGUGUGAAGAAGGCCUGCGGGUUGUAAAGCACUUUCGGUUGGGAGGACUGCUUCUAGCACUAAUAUUGUUGGAAGUUGACGUUACCUUCAGAAGAAGCGCCGGGUAACUCCGUGCCAGCAGCCGCGGUAAUACGGAGGGUGCAAGCGUUAAUCGGAAUUACUGGGCGUAAAGCGCGCGUAGGCGGCUAGAUCAGUCGGGUGUGAAAGCCCCGGGCUUAACCUGGGAACGGCAUCCGAUACUGUCUAGCUUGAGUACAGGAGAGGAGAGUGGAAUUCCACAUGUAGCGGUGAAAUGCGUAGAUAUGUGGAGGAACACCAAUGGCGAAGGCAGCUCUCUGGCCUGAUACUGACGCUGAGGUGCAAAAGCGUGGGGAGCAAACAGGAUUAGAUACCCGAGUAGUC
rnacentral:rRNA from 1 species